rnacentral:rRNA from 1 species
AUUGAACGCUGGCGGCAGGCCUAACACAUGCAAGUCGAGCGGAUGAGUGGAGCUUGCUCCAUGAUUCAGCGGCGGACGGGUGAGUAAUGCCUAGGAAUCUGCCUGGUAGUGGGGGACAACGUUUCGAAAGGAACGCUAAUACCGCAUACGUCCUACGGGAGAAAGUGGGGGAUCUUCGGACCUCACGCUAUCAGAUGAGCCUAGGUCGGAUUAGCUAGUUGGUGAGGUAAAGGCUCACCAAGGCGAUGAUCCGUAACUGGUCUGAGAGGAUGAUCAGUCACACUGGAACUGAGACACGGUCCAGACUCCUACGGGAGGCAGCAGUGGGGAAUAUUGGACAAUGGGCGAAAGCCUGAUCCAGCCAUGCCGCGUGUGUGAAGAAGGUCUUCGGAUUGUAAAGCACUUUAAGUUGGGAGGAAGGGCAGUAAGUUAAUACCUUGCUGUUUUGACGUUACCAACAGAAUAAGCACCGGCUAACUUCGUGCCAGCCGCCGCGGUAAAAC